GGGUAGUUCCACAGCAGCAACCUUGGAGACGUGAGAAAAUCCCACCCUCCCUAACCAGCCCGUCUAGCUAGAAACGCGCACAGGUAGGGCAGUAUUCCCUAAAAACACUGGGGAAAAAGGUGUUUAUUGUUGUCAAUAAUACAAAUUAGUACUAGUCCACUCCAGAACCAAGUGUCCACAAGACCCCCGAGGCGGUGCAAUUUGACAUCUUCUUUCAUUAUCAAAGGCCGCUUCAGCCUUAAGCCGGUCGCUCACUGGCCUGUACUGUUUGUCAACGAAGUAAAGUCUUCCUGGCUGCGACGCGACCGGGACUCGAUCGACAGGGUGCUCAGUCAGGUCCAGUUCCUCACCUGCCUCAUACACUUGUAUCCAUGGAAACCAUCGGCACAAACGCAUUGCAAAAGACCUGGACCAUCAGACGCACAAGACCCAUUCUCAGGACACAUUUCUGGAGACAGAGAAAAACAGUCACUGGAGUCUAAGGCCAUUUACCCCAAGAGCCAAGCUCCUCUGAUCUCAGAAGCUAAACAGGGUUGGGCCUCAUUGGUACUUAUAUGGGAGGAUAUCACUGGAUCUCAUUAGGUAUUUUUCAAAUCUACUUAGAUUCUUAAUU
rnacentral:lncRNA from 1 species